rnacentral:rRNA from 1 species
UUUGGCCGAGAAAGUCCCACUUGAACCCUUUAUUCCAUUUAAGAAGGAAGGAGAAAGUUCGUUAACAAAGGGUUUUCCCGUAGGGUGAANCCUGNCGGAAAGGANCCAUUGUCGCACCCCUUGCAAAGCGAACGACCCGCGAAUGUGUUUUUACCACAGUGUCGGUCAUGUGCAGGGCUUGGCUCAAAACAUGACCGGCCAAAAACUAACCAUCGAGCGCGGAAUGCGCCAAGGAAAAUAAAAGGACACUACAGCCCCUUUGCGCCUCCGAGACGGGGCUCGCUUUGGGGAUGUGUAUGUUCUAUAUAAGUCAUAACGACUCUCGGCAACGGAUAUCUCGGCUCUCGUACCGAUGAADAACGUAGCGAAAUGCGAUACGUGGUGUGAAUUGCAGAAUUCCGUGAACCAUCGAGUUUUUGAACGCAAGUUGCGCCCGAAGCCAUUCGGCCGAGGGCACGCCUGCCUGGGCGUCACGCACCGUUGCCCCCUUUUCCAGCACUUCCCUCACGAAAGAGGGGCUUGCUUGUGCAGUGGGCGUAUAUUGGCUUCCCGUAUGCUCAGUCUUGCGGUUGGCCUAAAAUUGAAUUCCUUAGCUGCGAUGGCCGUGGCACUUGGUGGUAUUCGACAGAGUUGCCUCAUGCCACGAGCUCUUCACAGUCUUACGGACGACACUUAGACUCAAAUGUGCGCCCUUAACGGGGCGACACUUCCAACGCGACCCCAGGUCAGGCGGGAUUAACCCGCUGAAUUUAAGCAUAUCAAUHAGCGGAGGAAAAGAA